AACCUUAUGGACCUGCGGGCGUAUACCUGCGGAGGGAUCAUUACUGUGAUUUACUACUACACUGCGUGAGCGGAACGAAAACAACAACACCUAAAAUGUGGAAUAUAGCAUAUAGUCGACAAGAGAAAUCUACGAAAAAACAAACAAAACUUUUAACAACGGAUCU
rnacentral:misc_RNA from 1 species